AGAGAGCAAAUUGAUCAUUUCUGUUAAGAACUGGUGUGACUGACAAAAUAAUCAAACAAUUACACAUAGAGUACCACAUAUACCUCGUUUUGACAUAUAAGGACCGGUUUUUAAUAAUAGAAAUAGAUGAAUUUUUUAUCA
rfam:Gossypium raimondii Chr04_contig_1282, whole genome shotgun sequence.